GCUCUUUCAACCGGCCGUUCGCAUUCAUGAUACGAGACGGUGGUUCGAUUCCCAUCAGUCCUGUAUGGCGUUUUGCUUGUCCAGGGUGUCUCACCGCCUGCUGCCCAAUGACUGCUGAGAUAGGCUCCACAACUGGGGAACAGUCAAAGAGAGUUUGGCUCCGGACUGGAGUCCUCCCAGCUCCUGGGAAUCGACGUUGAGCAGGUUUCCAUGGUGAUCAAUUCUGACCUUCCUGUGGUUGUCUACGGUAACCCAGACAACGAGGC